GAUACGUUAGCCAAGUGGUUAAGGCGAUUGAUUCGAAUGUGUAGUAUCAAUUGGGGUCUCCCCGCGUAGGUUCAAAUCCUGCACGUGUCG
rnacentral:tRNA from 1 species